CGGUGGAUCAUGUUGUUUAAUUUCGAUGAUACGCGAAGAACCUUACCAGGUCUUGACAUCCCCCGCGAUGCUUUAGAGAUAAAGCGGAGGUAUUCGGGAGACAGGUGGUGCAUGGUUGUCGUCAGCUCGUGUCGUGAGAUGUUGGGUUAAGUCCCGCAACGAGCGCAACCCCUAUUGCUAGUUACCAUCAUUAAGUUGGGGACUCUAGCGAGACUGCCAGUGAUAAACUGGAGGAAGGUGGGGAUGACGUCAAAUCAUCAUGCCCCUUAUGACCUGGGCUACAAACGUGAUACAAUGGCUGGAACAAAGGGAUGCGAAGCAGUGAUGUGGAGCGAAACCCAUAAAAACAGUCUCAGUUCGGAUUGAAGUCUGCAACUCGACUUCAUGAAGUCGGAAUCGCUAGUAAUCGCGGAUCAGAACGCCGCGGUGAAUACGUUCUCGGGGUUU
rnacentral:rRNA from 1 species